GAUGAACGCUGGCGGCGUGCUUAACACAUGCAAGUCGAACGGACCUUCGGGUCAGUGGCGGACGGGUGAGUAACGCGUGAGAAUCUGCCCUCAGGAGGGGGAUAACGGCUGGAAACGGCCGCUAAUACCCCAUAUGCCGCGAGGUGAAAUGAAUUUCGCCUGAGGAUGAGCUCGCGUCUGAUUAGCUAGUUGGUGGGGUAAAGGCCUACCAAGGCGACGAUCAGUAGCUGGUCUGAGAGGAUGAUCAGCCACACUGGGACUGAGACACGGCCCAGACUCCUACGGGAGGCAGCAGUGGGGAAUUUUCCGCAAUGGGCGAAAGCCUGACGGAGCAACGCCGCGUGAGGGAUGAAGGCCUCUGGGCUGUAAACCUCUUUUCUCAAGGAAGAAGAUCUGACGGUACUUGAGGAAUAAGCCACGGCUAAUUCCGUGCCAGCAGCCGCGGUAAUACGGGAGUGGCAAGCGUUAUCCGGAAUUAUUGGGCGUAAAGCGUCCGCAGGCGGCCCUGUAAGUCUGUCGUUAAAGCGUGGAGCUCAACUCCAUUUCAGCGAUGGAAACUACAGGGCUUGAGUGUGGUAGGGGCAGAGGGAAUUCCCGGUGUAGCGGUGAAAUGCGUAGAUAUCGGGAAGAACACCAGUGGCGAAGGCGCUCUGCUGGGCCAUAACUGACGCUCAUGGACGAAAGCCAGGGGAGCGAAAGGGAUUAGAUACCCCUGUAGUCCUGGCCGUAAACGAUGAACACUAGGUGUCGGGGGAAUCGACCCCCUCGGUGUCGUAGCCAACGCGUUAAGUGUUCCGCCUGGGGAGUACGCACGCAAGUGUGAAACUCAAAGGAAUUGACGGGGGCCCGCACAAGCGGUGGAGUAUGUGGUUUAAUUCGAUGCAACGCGAAGAACCUUACCAGGGUUUGACAUCCUGCGAACCUCCUGGAAACGGGGGGGUGCCUUCGGGAGCGCAGUGACAGGUGGUGCAUGGCUGUCGUCAGCUCGUGUCGUGAGAUGUUGGGUUAAGUCCCGCAACGAGCGCAACCCACGUCGUUAGUUGCCAGCAUUCAGUUGGGCACUCUAGCGAGACCGCCGGUGAUAAACCGGAGGAAGGUGUGGAUGACGUCAAGUCAUCAUGCCCCUUACAUCCUGGGCUACACACGUACUACAAUGCUACGGACAAAGGGCAGCAAGCUCGCGAGAGUUAGCAAAUCCCAUAAACCGUGGCUCAGUUCAGAUCGUAGGCUGCAACUCGCCUACGUGAAGGAGGAAUCGCUAGUAAUCGCAGGUCAGCAUACUGCGGUGAAUACGUUCCCGGGCCUUGUACACACCGCCCGUCACACCAUGGAAGUUGGCCACGCCCGAAGUCGUUACUCCAACCCUUGUGGAGGAGGACGCCGAAGGUGGGGCUGAUGACUGGGGUGAAGUCGUAACAAGGUAGCCGUACCGGAAGGUGCGGCUGGAUCACCUCCU
rnacentral:rRNA from 1 species